rnacentral:rRNA from 1 species
AGAGUUUGAUCCUGGCUCAGGAUAAACGCUGGCGGCGUGCCUUACGCAUGCAAGUCGAACGCCCCAUUUCGGUGGGGAGUGGCGGACGGGUGAGGAACACGUACGUGACCUGUCCCAAACCGGGGGAUAACCGCCCGAAAGGGUGGCUAAUACCGCAUGUGGUCUCAUUCGUGCGCGGGUGAGAGUAAAACUCCGGUGGUUUGGGAGGGGCGUGCGGCCGAUUAGCUAGUUGGUGGGGUAACGGCCUACCAAGGCGACGAUCGGUAGCUGGUCUGAGAGGACGGCCAGCCACACGGGGACUGAGACACGGCCCCGACUCCUACGGGAGGCAGCAGCGAGGAAUCUUGGUCAAUGGGCGCAAGCUGAACCAGCGACGCCGCGUGCAGGAUGAAGGCCCUCGGGUCGUAAACUGCUUUUGCGUGGGACGAAGUACUGACGGUACCCGCGAAUAAGCCACGGCUAACUACGUGCCAGCAGCCGCGGUAAUACGUAGGUGGCGAGCGUUGUCCGGAUUUAUUGGGCGUAAAGCGCGCGCAGCGGUGCAGCAAGUCCGGUGUGAAAGCUCCCGGCUCAACUGGGAGAGGUCAUUGGAGACUGCUGGACUGGAGGAUGGCAGAGGUCGGUGGAAUUCCCGGUGUAGUGGUGAAAUGCGUAGAGAUCGGGAGGAACACCAGUGGCGAAGGCGGCCGACUGGGCCAUACCUGAGCUGAGGCGCGAAAGCGUGGGGAGCGAACCGGAUUAGAUACCCUAGUAGUCC